rnacentral:rRNA from 1 species
UGGUCAAGUUAUUAAGGGUGCAGGGCGGAUGCCUUGGCACUAGGAGCCGAUGAAGGACGUGAUAAGCUGCGAUAAGCUUCGGGGAGUUGCACGUAAACUUUGAUCCGAAGAUUUCCGAAUGAGGAAACUCACUUAGAGUAAUGUCUAAGUAUCAUUAAGUGAAUACAUAGCUUAAUGAGGGGAACUCAGGGAACUGAAACAUCUAAGUACCUGAAGGAAGAGAAAGAAAUUCGAUUCCGUAAGUAGCGGCGAGCGAACGCGGAUUAGCCCAAACCAAUAAAGUUUUCUUUAUUGGGGUUGCGGACAUAUCAUAACGAAGAGGUAUCGUAAUUGAAGAGGUUUGGAAAGACCCACCACAGAAGGUAAUAGUCCUGUAUGUUAAACGAGAAGACUUUAGAUAUGAUCCAGAGUACCACGGGACACGUGAAACCCUGUGGGAAGCAGGAGGGACCACCCUCCAAGGCUAAAUACUACCUAGUGACCGAUAGCGUAUAGUACCGUGAGGGAAAGGUGAAAAGAACCCCGGGGGGGGAGUGAAAUAGAACCUUAAUCCCUGAACUGCCAAGCUGUGGAAGGACAUUUCUUGUGUGACCGCGUACUUGUUGUAGAGCGGGCUAACGAGGUACGUUAAGUAGCAAGGUUAAGCACUUAUGGUGCGGAGCCGUAGCGAAAGCGAGUUUUAACUGAGCGUUCAGUUACUUGACGUAGACCCGAAACCGGGCGACCUACCCAUGAGCAGGAUGAAGCGAAAGUAAAAUUUCGUGGAGGUCCGAACCCACGAGCG